GUCAGAUCUAGCCGGCCUUAUCCCGCAUCGGAAGCAUUUUAGGAAGGGUCUUUAUCACCCACUGCGCUCCCGGCAGCCUCCGUGCCGUUUCAUCUACGACUAAUGCGUUUUCUCCGCGAGAAGGCAGGGUCACUCAUGGUGGACAGGUUUCAUCAGAGCUUCCCGACUAAGAUAGACUAAGAAGAGCUCCCGGCCACCCACUUCUGAAUAAAUUGGUCAUGAAAACCCUGUGAAUAGCAGCAGAGCAUCAUCUGAUGCAGCACCGGAAGCCACAGUAGUCCCGCCUUCGCCACGGUUUCACUUUCCACGGUUUCAGUUACCUGCCGUCAACCAUGGUCCGAAAAUAUUAAAUGGAAUAGCCCAGAAAUAAGCAAUUCAUUUGUGUGUGAAUAUCCACUAUCAUUUCUCUUGGAUAAAUGCCUAGCAGUGGAAUUGCUGAGUCAUACACUGAGAGUAGUGAGAGAAUACAGAGCAGACAAGAAAAAACAGCAGAUGCUUGUUGUUAAGAAUCUGACUGACCUGAACUUACUCUUGCAAUGGCCAGUGAAGAUCGCCAGGUUUUCGGGACAAAGCCAGGAACUGGAGAAGCCUCCAGGAUGGAGCUGGGACCUUGGGGGAAGCAGGAGCAGAAGAACCAGGUGAUGUGAAAUCAUUCAGAAGCAUCCAAAAGAAGCCUGGUCCCGCUCAGAGGCUGAGGGAACUCCAGACACGUUGGGCACGAGGGGCUGGGCUGACUAGGGUCCGAAGGCCAAAGCCAAGACAGCCAGGAGGAGUCCCAGCCACAGUUAGAGGGAACGUGCAUUGUAGAGCUGGCUGCUGCAAAUAGGAAAAGGAAGAGCGACAGAGGAGGCUGGACGACGUGAAUGCACAGUGCCAAGUAGGGCAGAAACGUGGAACCCAGACAAGCAAUUACAGCUAUCUACUGCAACAGCUUGUCAUGGCUGUCUUAGUGGGAAACGUCUUGAAUAAAAUCCUAGAGCCAUUCCGAGGAAUCUGAGUUGGAAAGGGUCCUAUGGAG
rnacentral:lncRNA from 1 species